rnacentral:rRNA from 1 species
UACGUAGGGGGCAAGCGUUGUCCGGAAUUAUUGGGCGUAAAGCGCGUGUAGGCGGUCCGGUAAGUCGGCUGUGAAAGUCCAGGGCUCAACCCUGGGAUGCCGGUCGAUACUGCCGGACUAGAGUUCGGAAGAGGCGAGUGGAAUUGCAGGUGUAGCGGUGAAAUGCGUAGAUAUCUGCAGGAACACCCGUGGCGAAAGCGGCGCGCUGGACCACUACUGACGCUGAGGAACGAAAGCUAGGGGAGCAAACAGG